CGCUUUGCUCAGUGGCAGUAUGGUAGCCAAUGAGGUUUAUCUGAGGCACUAUUACUGCUAAUUGAACAUUUGAUGCU
rfam:Rattus norvegicus chromosome 3, whole genome shotgun sequence.